GUCUUUUUGAGUAUAAUUUAAAGUCUAACCUGCCCAAUGAGGAGUUAAAUGGCCGCGGUAAUUUGACCGUGCAAAGGUAGCAUAAUCAUUAGUUUUUUAAUUGAAAGCUGGAAUGAAUGGUUGGACAAGAAAAUGGCUGUCUCACUUUAAUUGAAAAAUAGAAUUUUAUUUGUAAGUUAGAAAGCUUACAUGAUUUUAAAAGACGAGAAGACCCUAUAGAAUUUAAUAUUUGGUUUGAUAUGAAAUUAUUGGUAAUUUAAACUUUUUAUUAAACUAGUUAUUUAGUUGGGGCGAUUGAAAAAUUAAAUUAACUUUUUUUUAUUAAUUUCAUUAAUUUAUGUUUAGUUGAUCCGUUAUUUACGAUUAUAAGAUAAAAUUACCUUAGGGAUAACAGCGUAAUUUUUCUUUAGAGUUCAUAUCGAAAGAAGAGUUUGCGACCUCGAUGUUGGAUUAAAAUUAACUUUUGGUGCAGGAGCUAAAAAGUUAGGUCUGUUCGACCUUUAAAAUUUUAC
rnacentral:rRNA from 1 species